UACGUAGGGUCCGAGCGUUGUCCGGAGUUACUGGGCGUAAAGCGCGCGCAGGCGGCGGUGUUGGCCCGGCGUGAAAGCCCCCGGCUCAACCGGGGAGAGUCGUCGGGGACCGCACCGCUUGAGGGCGGUAGGGGCUGGUGGAAUGCCUGGUGUAGUGGUGAAAUGCGUAGAGAUCAGGCAGAACACCUGGGGCGAAGGCGGCCAGCUGGGCCGUCCCUGACGCUGAGGCGCGAAGGCGUGGGGAGCGAACAGG
rnacentral:rRNA from 1 species